CCUACGGGGGGCAGCAGUGAGGAAUAUUGGUCAAUGGACGAGAGUCUGAACCAGCCAAGUAGCGUGAAGGAUGACUGCCCCAUGGGUUGUAAACUUCUUUUAUAUGGGAAUAAAAUUUUCCACGUGUGGGCUUUUGUUUGUACCUUAUGAAUAAGGAUCGGCUAACUCCGUGCCAGCAGCCGCGGUAAUACGGAGGAUCCGAGCGUUCGCCGGAUUUACUGGGUUUAAAGGGAGCGUAGGUGGAUUGUUAAGUCAGUUGGGAAAGUGUGCGGCUCAACCGUAAAAUUGCAGUUGAAACUGGCAGUCUUGAGUACAGUAGAGGUGGGCGGAAUGCGUGGUGUAGCGGUGAAAUGCUUAGAGAGCACGAAGAACUCCGAUUGCGAAGGCAGCUCACUGGACUGCAACUGACACUGAGGCUCGAAAGUGUGGGUAUCAAACAGGAUUAGAUACACGUGUAGUC
rnacentral:rRNA from 1 species